rnacentral:rRNA from 1 species
CCUACGGGAGGCAGCAGUGAGGAAUAUUGGUCAAUGGACGAGAGUCUGAACCAGCCAAGUCGCGUGAAGGAUGACUGCCCUAUGGGUUGUAAACUUCUUUUAUAUGGGAAUAAAACGUUCCACGUGUGGGCUUUUGUAUGUACCAUAUGAAUAAGGAUCGGCUAACUCCGUGCCAGCAGCCGCGGUAAUACGGAGGAUCCGAGCGUUAUCCGGAUUUAUUGGGUUUAAAGGGAGCGUAGGUGGAUUGUUAAGUCAGUUGUGAAAGUUUGGGGCUCAACCGGAAAAUUGCAGUUGAUACUGGUAGUCUUGAGUACAGUAGAGGUAGGCGGAAUGCGUGGUGUAGCGGUGAAAUGCUUAGAGAUCACGCAGAACUCCGAUUGCGAAGGCAGUUCACUGGACUGCAACUGACACUGAGGCUCGAAAGUGUGGGUAUCAAACAGGAUUAGAUACCCGAGUAGUC